rnacentral:rRNA from 1 species
CCUACGGGAGGCAGCAGUGGGGAAUAUUGGACAAUGGGCGCAAGCCUGAUCCAGCCAUGUCGCGUGUGUGAAGAAGGUCUUCGGAUUGUAAAGCACUUUAAGUUGGUAGGAAGGGCAGUAAGCGAAUACCUUGCUGUUUUGACGUUACCGACAGAAUAAGCACCGGCUAACUCUGUGCCAGCAGCCGCGGUAAU